rnacentral:rRNA from 1 species
UGCCAGCAGCCGCGGUAAUACGGGGGGCGCAAGCGUUAUUCGGAAUUAUUGGGCGUAAAGGGCGCGCAGGCGGUCUUGUCCGUCAGGUGUGAAAGCUCGGGGCUCAACCCCGGAAGUGCACUUGAAACAGCAAGACUUGAAUACGGUAGAGGAGAGAGGAAUUCCUGGUGUAGAGGUGAAAUUCGUAGAUAUCAGGAGGAAUACCAGUGGCGAAGGCGCUGGGCUGGACGGAUACUGAUGCUGAGGUGCGAAAGCGUGGGGAGCAAACAGGAUUAGAUA